UAGAAAUUAGUUUAAUUAGAAUAAAUAAUUGUCGGUUAUUAGGUGAUUUGUAUUAUUUCUAU
rnacentral:tRNA from 1 species